rnacentral:ncRNA from 1 species
CUGAUGGGUAGUUUAACUGGGGCGGUUGCCUCCUAAAAAGUAACGGAGGCGCCCAAAGGUUCCCUCAGCCUGGUUGGCAAUCAGGUGUCGAGUGUAAGUGCACAAGGGAGCUUGACUGUGAGAGAGACAUCUCGAGCAGGGACGAAAGUCGGGACUAGUGAUCCGGCGGUACAUUGUGGAAUGGCCGUCGCUCAACGGAUAAAAGGUACCUCGGGGAUAACAGGCUGAUCUUGCCCAAGAGUCCAUAUCGACGGCAUGGUUUGGCACCUCGAUGUCGGCUCGUCGCAUCCUGGGGCUGGAGUAGGUCCCAAGGGUUGGGCUGUUCGCCCAUUAAAGCGGUACGCGAGCUGGGUUUAGAACGUCGUGAGACAGUUCGGUCCCUAUCCGCUGCGCGCGCAGGAAAUUUGAGAAGGGCUGUCCUUAGUACGAGAGGACCGGGACGGACGAACCUCUGGUGUGUCAGUUGUACUGCCAAGUGCACCGCUGAUUAGCUACGUUCGGAUGGGAUAACCGCUGAAAGCAUCUAAGCGGGAAGCUCGCUUCAAGAUGAGAUUUCCAUACACAUUAUGUGUGAGAGGCCCCCAGCCAGACCACUGGGUUGAUAGGCCGGAUGUGGAAGCGAGGACUAAAGACUCGUGAAGCUGACCGGUACUAAUAGGCCAACAACUUACACCAC